GCAAAGGGAGUAACUUCUGGUUCCUUUGUUACUUAGGUAUGGAAAGUUAGGGUUUUCCUUUCACUUUAGUUCUAGGAAGUCAGCGUGAAACGCCUGAAGUUUUCUGCCUCCAGACUCUACUCUCCUGCCUCAAUUCUACUCUCUACUUUUAUAAGCUCGACUCACAUUUGAUGACAUAGAAGACUUAAUUUCCUCCUCAUGAUUAAUCUCUCAGUUGGAGAGUAUACACACUCUUACACAGAAUCCAGGACGAAAGCCCUCAUCAGAUGCUUACAUCAUGAUCUUGGACUUCCCAGCCUCCAGACUGCAGAAGCUUUGGAACUGGAAUGGCUCUUCAGAACUGACCCAGUUGAGACAAGGGGGCUAGAUCUUUGGACUGUGAUCUGACCACUCACUGACUACAGGCUGCUAUCAAAGAGGAGAUGUAAACCUG
rnacentral:lncRNA from 1 species